ensembl:snRNA U6 U6 spliceosomal RNA
GUGCUUGCUUUAGCAGCACAUAUACUUUAAUUGGAACCAAACAGAGAAGAUUAGCAUGGCUCCUGCACAAGGAUGACGUGCAGGCUCGUGAAGCAUUCCAUAUUGUU